GACGUCGAUAUUCGACGUCAUAAACACGAAAAAAUUUGGUGUUUAUGACGUCGAUAUUCGACGUCAUAAACACGAACGAAUUUGGUGUUUAUGACGUCGAUAUUCGUCGUC